UACAGAGGUCCCAAGCGUUGUUCGGAUUCACUGGGCGUAAAGGGUGCGUAGGCGGUCGGGUAAGUCUGAUGUGAAAUCUCACAGCUUAACUGUGAAACUGCAUUGGAUACUAUUCGGCUAGAGAGUUGGAGGGGGGACUGGAAUUCUUGGUGUAGCAGUGAAAUGCGUAGAUAUCGAGAGGAACACCAGUGGCGAAGGCGAGUCUCUGGACGACCCCUGACACUGAGGCACGAAAGCUAGGGGAGCAAACAGG
rnacentral:rRNA from 1 species